AUUAAUUUUCCUAGCCGAGGAUGAGGAUGCGAAUGGAAGGCGAUCCUGCUGCCGGCCAGGGCAAUCUGCAAUCUCCGCCUGGAUCUUACCGCAUUCAUCGCUGGGCAAAUAACCGAACACGAUAUUCGCUAAUGAGACUGGGUAACGCAAGGUGGGCGUGUCGCCGUCGGCCUUCGUGAGCUAGCAACAACAAACAAUUCAAUUUUCAAUGCCUUCGGCCGCCCAAAAACAAAGCAUAGGGGCAGGGGCGGCGGAAUAAAACAUUUGCAAUUUAUAGCUUAAUGCAUGCAACGUGCGUCAGAUUGCACCGCCAGAUUGCAAACUGCGAGCUGGAGGGAGAAGGAGCCGAUGGUGGGAGUUGGACACGGAGUGGGAGUGCCAUCUUUGACUUGGACACUCGGGCCUUAAAGCCCUGAUCUGCCGUAUUAAGUUUCACUCGGCGGUAGCAAUUUGUCACUCACAAAUAAAGCAUUCCCCGAACCCAAUUUCCAUUCCCGCGUAGAUUCUCCAGAGACUGUGAGAACUCCAGGCGAAGAGGCAUCAUUAAGUGCGCCGGCCCAGACACUUUUCAAUGCCACUUGUGUUGACUUUUCAACCCAAAAGCGAAACAAAAACGAAACCAACUAGCUGGUCCGUGAAAAUGAAAACGAUUCCAGCAAAAGAGAAAAUGCGGCAAGUGUGUGGGCCACUCGGUAUCCCAGUGUUCGAGUAUUUCAGCUCAGUGUGAUGGCUGUCACUCACUUGGCCGACGGACCAGCGGAACCACUGGUGCCGCAAGGGCACCACAAUGGUGGUGCAGUUGGCGCUCAGGGCUGCCCGAGUCACUGGGUCAACUUGGUGAAGGCAAUGCAAUGCAGAGGGAGACAGCCAAAUCGG
ensembl:ncRNA lncRNA:CR45554 long non-coding RNA:CR45554